rnacentral:rRNA from 1 species
CAUCCUCCAAGGCUAAAUACUCCUGACUGACCGAUAGUGAACCAGUACCGUGAGGGAAAGGCGAAAAGAACCCCGGCGAGGGGAGUGAAAAAGAACCUGAAACCGUGUACGUACAAGCAGUGGGAGCACAGAGCAAUCUGUGUGACUGCGUACCUUUUGUAUAAUGGGUCAGCGACUUAUAUUCUGUAGCAAGGUUAACCGAAUAGGGGAGCCGAAGGGAAACCGAGUCUUAACUGGGCGUUAAGUUGCAGGGUAUAGACCCGAAACCCGGUGAUCUAGCCAUGGGCAGGUUGAAGGUUGGGUAACACUAACUGGAGGACCGAACCGACUAAUGUUGAAAAAUUAGCGGAUGACUUGUGGCUGGGGGUGAAAGGCCAAUCAAACCGGGAGAUAGCUGGUUCUCCCCGAAAGCUAUUUAGGUAGCGCCUCGUGAAUUCAUCUCCGGGGGUAGAGCACUGUUUCGGCAAGGGGGUCAUCCCGACUUACCAACCCGAUGCAAACUGCGAAUACCGGAGAAUGUUAUCACGGGAGACACACGGCGGGUGCUAACGUCCGUCGUGAAGAGGGAAACAACCCAGACCGCCAGCUAAGGUCCCAAAGUCAUGGUUAAGUGGGAAACGAUGUGGGAAGGCCCAGACAGCCAGGAUGUUGGCUUAGAAGCAGCCAUCAUUUAAAGAAAGCGUAAUAGCUCACUGGUCGAGUCGGCCUGCGCGGAAGAUGUAACGGGGCUAAACCAUG